GUGGGGAAUAUUGCGCAAUGGGCGAAAGCCUGACGCAGCGACGCAGCGUGAGGGACGACGGCCUUCGGGUUGUAAACCUCUUUCAGCGGGGACGAAGCGAAAGUGACGGUACCCGCAGAAGAAGCACCGGCUAACUACGUGCCAGCAGCCGCGGUAAUACGUAGGGUGCAAGCAUUGUCCGGAUUUAUUGGGCGUAAAGAGCUCGUAGGCGGCUUGUCACGUCGGGCGUGAAAACUCGGGGCUUAACCCCGAGCCUGCGCUCGAUACGGGCUAGCUAGAGUGUUGCAGGGGAGACUGGAAUUCCUGGUGUAGCGGUGAAAUGCGCAGAUAUCAGGAGGAACACCGGUGGCGAAGGCGGGUCUCUGGGCAACUACUGACGCUGAGGAGCGAAAGCGUGGGGAGCGAACAGGAUUAGAAACCCCAGUAGUCC
rnacentral:rRNA from 1 species